AGAUAAUACUACUUCCAGAAGAAAGAGAGGGUUUUCUUUAAGCCCUUUGAGCUUCAGAUGGAGGCACCACAGCCCUGCCCGGGGCCGCGCCGGCCACCAUGUGAUUAGGUGGAGGGACCUGUAUCCCCAGACCAGCAUCCCCAGAAGCUUCCUCUGCAAGACACAGAAGACUCCCGGGCAGUCCGGCCUUGCUGGGCAGGGCGGGAGCUAUGCCUGUGCAGAGAUGAGGAGAAGUCAAUGGCUACCAUACAUUGACCUCCUACUACAUGCCAAGAAUUAUGCUAGACCUCUGAAGCCUUCCUGAUGACGCCUUGGGCAGGGCUCACUCAGCUUGACAAACUUUUACCCGGAACCCUCUGAUCCCAUUUUGAUGAAUGAAGUCAAAACCCCAGUGGGUUCGCUCAUCUGGCUGCUAUAGCACAGCCAGCCAAAGACCUCAGUACCCAUCUGGAUACUUCAUUAGGGUCCUAAGACAUCUGGGGACCAGCGAUGGAAGAAACGUGCUUGUGUCGGGCGCCUAUCAUACGCCCGCACGGUGCUGAGCCCUUUCCAAUAUGGUAUCUCGGAUAGUCCCCCACCAAAAAAAAAAAGAAAAGAAAAGAAAAGAAAACCUGCCAGAGUGGAAUUAUCAUUUCCAUUUUAUGAA